CAACCAUAAAUCAUGUACAUGGAUAACAUGGACCAUGGAUUCCAACCUACAUCUAAAUUGACUUCAUAAAAUUCAAGAUGUGGAAAGAAAAGCAGUCUUUGUAGUGACAAAGCUGACCAGUGUACCUGUGGGGAAAAGACUCUUUUUCUUCAAGACUGAAAAAGGCAAAUUUUGACACUUUAACUAUACCGAACUGGAGCCCAGAGAAGCUAGGUAACUUGCUGAAGAGACACUGUGACAGAGGGAAACCCUAAUACACAGCACUGGAGCACACCUCUACAACACACUUCUGGAAUAAGAGAAUAUAAGGAGAACCAUCUCUGCCAGAAUCGAGAUUUGUUACAAAGUUAUGGUAAUUGCGACAUUGUGAUGUUGGUACAGGAUAGAUCGAAAGAUCAGCAUGAUAGAAAAGAGAACCCAGAAACGGACCAGUAUAUCAAAUAAAAGACUAAACAUGAAAGUUUAUGCCCUAAGUCAAUGGGGGAAACAAUGGACAAGUCAACAAAAUUACAUUUAGAAAAUUGGUUACAUAAAUGAUAUUUUUUUAAAAAACUGAAAUAAUUUCCUCCUUCAUACCAGUCACAAACUUAAUUUCAGAAAGAAUAAGGAC